UGAAAAGUAUCCCAUUUUGAAGAAGGGUCGAUCUCAUGUAGAAGACAAUUCCAUUCUUGGUGUGAGAAACAUGGAAACAAAUAGAGAGAAGGAAAGUAUUAGAGAGAGAAUUAGAAAGGAUCUUUCUUAAAUAUUUGCGUCAUUCGUUUGUAUUCCAUUUCUUGGCAUGAGAAGCAAAGAGAGAGAGAAGGAGAAUAUUAGAGAGAGAAUUAAAAGGGUUUAUCCUAAAUAUUCAUGUCUUUUCUUUGUGAAAAACAGAGAGAGAGAGAGAAGGAGAGUAUUAGAGAGAGAAAAAAAAUAUUUCCUAAAUAUUUGUAUCUUUCCUUUGUAGAGAGAGUGUGUCUUCUCUUAUUAUAAGAGAGAGGAUUUGUCAGAGGAAGAGAGCAGAGAUUGCAGACCUAAGAGAAUAGUAGACAAAGAAGAGAAUGAGAAUGGCAAACUUGGAAAAUUUCAUUAUGGCACUUUCGAAUCCAACCUCCUUUGUAAAGCAGAGCCAUAACCGUCAUUUUCUUCAAGCUUCCAUAUAUUUUUCAAGUUGGCUAAACAUAACAUGAAGAGAGAGGGUUGCCAACAUGGGAUGGUUCGAACCUAUUGGAUCCUACCAUCCCCAUUGAACCCCAGACCCACUGCCAGAUUUGUCAACCACUUGGACUAACCUCCAACAGCCAGAUUGUUCUCCAAAGUCUCAUCCAAGCCAACCAACCACUCCAAGUUCACCGGAAAGUGUGGCAAGGCUCGCUGCCCCGGCUGUC